GGUUCAUUGCGGUCAGCCUCAAGCUCUGUGGCCUUAUCCUGUUGCAUCAAUGCUGGAUUCGAAGCAACUCCUCAAUCAAGUUGCAAAAGGUCAUCAGAGAGAUAGGUAUCGCCGAGGACGGAGAUGAUUUAAGGGGGGAGUAGUUAACACAUAAGCAAUAACAUGGGACACCCUAACUUAGCGCACAAGAAAUGUGAAAUAUCAUGUGCCGCCCUAACUUAUCCAGUCAGAUACGGAGGGCGCCGAUGCAGUAGAUGCCGUUGCAGCGGGCGACUCUGUUAUCUGAUUGGGCGCCAGCGAUCGCAUGAUCUUGUUUAUGCGUAGGCGGCUCUUAUCUCUUGUGAGCGCGGACGGCUCGCCGGCUAGGUUUCGGUGUAGGUUUAGAAGUAAGCUUUAGUUUAGAAUUUGACGAAUAAAUGAACGGAGCGUUCACAUAAACUCCGACACGAGUCGUAAAACGUGCAUUGAUAUAAUCAUAUUGUUGAGCCUUAAGGGCCAACGAAAUAGAGGGCAAUUACCCUCUCAACAUAAUCUUCGGUAGAAGACUCAGUUGCCAACCGCAACCACCGUCCCCCACUACAAGAGCGGGCCACGGGAACCCGAUCGCUGCCGCCGGAGCCAACGCAACGCAUACCGCAGCUCGGACCAAAAAACGCCAUAAAGUUAAUUGGCGCCCAACGGGAUUUAGGAUCCACGUCCCCAAGAAAAAUAACAUGUAAGUGACUGUUCGGAAAAAAUAAAGCUUGUGAGAGAAUUUUGAUCUCCCCUUCGCUGAUCGUUUAUGAGUUGGGACUAUAGAAACAAGGUCGAAUACGACAGCGACGAGAGCCUAGACUUAUUGUACCAGCCACCAGUCAGAACAGUGCAGAAUCAAUUUAAAAUGGACCCAGCCAUGAUAAAAGC
rnacentral:lncRNA from 1 species